rnacentral:ribozyme from 12 species
AUCUUCACACGCAUAAUGAAAAAAACAAAGACCAAACGAAUAAUGCUUAAUUAGAUAAAAAAAUUGUUCUUUCCUUAUUUUUGCAUAUUUCCU